rnacentral:rRNA from 1 species
UACGUAGGUGGCAAGCGUUAUCCGGAUUUACUGGGUGUAAAGGGCGUGUAGGCGGGGAAGCAAGUCAGAUGUGAAAACCACGGGCUCAACCUGUGGCCUGCAUUUGAAACUGUUUUUCUUGAGUGCUGGAGAGGCAAUCGAAAUUCCGUGUGUAGCGGUGAAAUGCGUAGAUAUACGGAGGAACACCAGUGGCGAAGGCGGAUUGCUGGACAGUAACUGACGCUGAGGCGCGAAAGCGUGGGGAGCAAACAGG